AGCACGCGAGGUUCCCAGGUGGUUAUUCUCCCAAGUACUGACCCACCCGAUACUGCUUAACAGCGGUGAUCAGACGAUAACCGGUGCUUUAAGCAUGGUUUGGACGU